rnacentral:rRNA from 1 species
CUAUGCGCCUUGCCAGCCCGCUCAGGUGUGCCAGCAGCCGCGGUAAUACGUAGGGUGCAAGCGUUAUCCGGAUUUAUUGGGCGUAAAGGGCUCGUAGGCGGUUCGUCGCGUCCGGUGUGAAAGUCCAUCGCUUAACGGUGGAUCCGCGCCGGGUACGGCGGGCUUGAGUGCGGUAGGGGAGACUGGAAUUCCCGGUGUAACGGUGGAAUGUGUAGAUAUCGGGAAGAACACCAAUGGCGAAGGCAGGUCUCUGGGCCGUUACUGACGCUGAGGAGCGAAAGCGUGGGGAGCGAACAGG